rnacentral:tRNA from 1 species
GCCUGGCUGGCUUAUUCAUUAAAGCAUGAGACUCUUGAUCUUGGAGUUGUAAGUUCAAAUCCCAUGUUGGGCA